GACGAACGCUGGCGGCGUGCCUAAUACAUGCAAGUAGAACGCUGAAGGAGGAGCUUGCUCUUCUGGAUGAGUUGCGAACGGGUGAGUAACGCGUAGGUAACCUGCCUGGUAGCGGGGGAUAACUAUUGGAAACGAUAGCUAAUACCGCAUAAGAGUAGAUGUUGCAUGACAUUUACUUAAAAGGUGCAAUUGCAUCACUACCAGAUGGACCUGCGUUGUAUUAGCUAGUUGGUGGGGUAACGGCUUACCAAGGCGACGAUACAUAGCCGACCUGAGAGGGUGAUCGGCCACACUGGGACUGAGACACGGCCCAGACUCCUACGGGAGGCAGCAGUAGGGAAUCUUCGGCAAUGGAUGGAAGUCUGACCGAGCAACGCCGCGUGAGUGAAGAAGGGUUUCGGAUCGUAAAGCUCUGUUGUAAGAGAAGAACGAGUGUGAGAGUGGAAAGUUCACACUGUGACGGUAUCUUACCAGAAAGGGACGGCUAACUACGUG
rnacentral:rRNA from 1 species